UGCUCCAACGAAGUGAUGCUAGUAGAUACCCGUCUGGAUAUCAGUGUAGAGGAACUGGCAAUAAUUACUCCAUCGCCUCGAGACCUCGAGUUAUUUACAGUGGAUCAGCCAUAGCGAAAGCAAGAAAAUUUCUCAUCAAAAAAGGGAGCAGUGGGUUGGGUGUCGUUCAGCAAAGUCUCGGUAAGUACGAGAACAUCAAAAGAGAAUUCGUUGAGUUAAGUACGUAAGCUUCGAUCGCGUUGCGUAAGCUUAACGAGAGCGUUACAUAAUUAACAAGUUUACCAAUUUUCCAUUUUAUAAUUAAUUUAAAUACUUAAUUUUGGUGCUCAUCUUUCCUGUCUCCUAACACAUCGUGUUCUUAAAGCGGCUUGCCAAAUCGUUGAAACGACGCGUCAUAGUGCACAAAGGUCCGUUUGCGCCAUAUCGCGUGUUAUGUCUAGUUUCGUGUAGCAUUAUGUGACGCUUGCGCCUUAUUUCGUCGUUUUUGUAGUGUUUUUAGUCCUAACAAUAGAAGGCGCUGGUCAUAAGGCGGUAAAUUAGUUCGGUCUCUCCAGUUAAACUUCGCAAUGGCGUAUCGGGAUUUUUUUUUGCCGAAUAAUGGAGAAUGGGUGCCGGAUGGUGUGCGUAGUGCGUGAAGUUUGAUGUGUUUUAGGCAUUGAGCAUACUUUUGUAUGGGCAAAUGAACAGCGUUUGAUUUGUGAUGUGAUAGUGGUAAGUUGAGUGUUUUCAGGUGCUGUGGAGGUGUAAGUGGUCGUAUAUACAGAUCACCGACACUGUUGAUGCGUUCAAUGGCGUGGUGUAAACUCGAAUCAUCUUGUGCAUGCGGCGAAGGAAUAAUGAGGUGGUAUAUGUUGAACUGGUUGUUGCACUUGUCUGGUGACGGCGGAUGGAUGAUCAGUAGCGGGGGUGAGGGUUGGUUGAGGUGGGGGGCAUGAAGAUUGUGCCGGGAUGUGGUUGAGGACCAAACAGUGAGGAAGUGCGGGAUGCAUCACGAAAAUUUAAAUGAUUCUUCACACGUACCUAAAAUGUAUGCGAGACGUCUGAGGGGCCAAAACUGCUCGAAUACACUACCCAACUGACAUUUUAUAGCAGAUUAAUAGCAUCUUUCGAGUAGCGUUCCCCAAAUCUCGAAACUAAAUUUUGUCUAAAAAUGCACCAGAUUUAGGCAAUUAUAACAGUUGAAACACUUGGUUUAAGCAUUUUUUCAUCCUUUUCGAGUCCAAGCUGUCAUACGGCAAAGGCGCUAUGACAGCGCAAAUCAAAACAAAAUCAAACAAUUACGUUUAAGACUACCUUGUGAUAUUACGCUCGUGAAUUUUGAUUUAUUAUACAAACUAGUGUUACGUUGUUCUCUUCGUGUGCGCCAGAGUUCCUUUAGAGAGAGAGAGAGAGAGAGAGAAAAAAAAAAACAGGACGGUGAGUUGAAAAAUGGUGCUUUACGUCGUACAUAAAAUGGUGAACGAUACUUCAUCUUUCGUAGAAAACAUGUUUCGGGAAGCGGCAAACACGUUUCAAUCGUUACAAAGUUGCACGUUGUCAGCUUUAAAGUUCAGGCUGCCGUAGCUCACCAUCAGGGCCAACAAAAUUGUGCCACAGGCAGCAUCGGUUACAACUCCAACCAGCACAACAUCACCCAGGAUCAACGUUACUGCAGCACCGACCAAAGCAACAACCAGUACAGCACCUUCACGAUUUGUUCCACCUAUCAGCUUUAACGGAGCUCCAGCCAAAGCAACAAUCGCACGGUACAAUCAUAUGCUGCUCAAUACAGUUGAAAUAUAUCGACCAACACCCAACGUCAAAACGCCGGGACCUUCCUUCAUCGAUGCAGCUUCAGAGAAAGAAAAGUGUUUAAUUUGAAAACGGGAAAAUUGUACCGGCCAAAAAUUCUCAUAAAUACAUCUCCUGAGACAGUGUCUGUAGCAUCAAGCAGUACACAAAAAUCUAUGCUGGAUGCCGCGCUGGACAAAUCCAGCUACAAGCUCAGCAUUUGAAAAUCAAACCAGCGAGCAACUAAGUAUAUUGAAUAAGUCGGUUGCAACAAUCUGGGCUGAGCUGAAUUAUUUGACUGAUCACCAUAAGAAAACAACUCAUGGAGCAGGUACAAUGCAGGGGCCGGAGCAUUUCUCACAUCGGAAGCAGAGCUAGCAGUUUUUAACGAUAAUUUAGCUAAUGAUGAAUACUUUCAAAGCGUUCUUCUUCUUCUAAAUGAGAAAGUAUCCGGAAAGCCGUAUGCUAAAAAUAGCAUGCAAGACACCUGUUGUUCCUGUUUCGACACGAUGAAGGAAGCAAUAUGGGUUGGUUUUCAUUAAACACUUUAUUUACUGGUGUGACGCGUAACUGAUAGAUAUGUUCAUCAACUGAUCUGUACUAUGGUUAGAGCACAACUUAAGCGUACGAAGGUUAGAGCACAACUGGCUAAUAAGGGUCCUUUUUGCAUAGGGAAAUUGUUGAAGGAGUGCAAUAGAGUCCGCAAUCCAAAGGAGAGUCAAAAAUUCCAAAGGCAUGAACAGUUACGCACCUUGACCGAAGCGUACACAGCUCAAUUCUCGCAAAUUGUUUACGAUUGGCCCGGGUAAUCCUUUGUUCUUUCUUGCAUCCGGUGUUCCUGUAUGCAUGUGGUCAGGGUAAGGAUAUGUGCAGAUAGGAUGUUAUGAUGGUGUUAACUUUUAAGGUAGUAACAUACACCUUUUGAUAUUUUCUUGAAAAAGAGAAUAUCAAUCGCUUCCGCACAAGCCGCAAAGCACAAGUCUGCUUCGUAUGGAGUGAAGAUUACAAGUCGAGUUUAUUGAAAAUUUUCUGUUCUUAUAUACUAAAAUAUCCUCGUAAGUUUGAAUGUUAGAAAGAGAUAGAAAGGUUCGAAAGAGAUAGAACUCUUUCUAUCUACU